UACGUAGGUGGCAAGCGUUAUCCGGAAUUACUGGGCGUAAAGCGCACGCAGGCGGUCUGUUAAGUUUGACGUGAAAGCUCCCGGCUUAACUGGGAGAGGUCGUUGAAUACUGGAAGACUUGAGGAAAUGAGAGGGGUGUAGAAUUCCUGGUGUAGUGGUGGAAUGCGUAGAUAUCAGGAGGAAUACCAGUGGCGAAAGCGGCACCCUAGCAUUUUUCUGACGCUCAUGUGCGAAAGCGUGGGGAGCGAACGGG
rnacentral:rRNA from 1 species